CCUACGGGAGGCAGCAGUCGAGAAUCAUUCACAAUGGGGGAAACCCUGAUGGUGCGACGCCGCGUGGGGGAAUGAAGGUCUUCGGAUUUUAAACCCCUGUCAUGUGGGAGCAAGUUAAAAAGAUAGUAACCCAAGCGAUAGAGACUGCUAACUCUGUACCAGCAGCCGCGGUAAUACAGAGGUCUCACGCGUUGUUCGGAAUCACUGGGCGUAAAGCGUGCGUAGGCUGUUUCGUAAGUCGUUUGGGAAAGGCGCGGGCUCAACCUGCGGACGGCACAUGAUACUGCGAGCCUAGAGUAAUGGAGAGGGAACUGGAAUUCUAGGUGUAGCAGUGAAAUGCGUAGAUAUCGAGAGGAACACUCGUGGCGAAGGCGGGUUCCUGGACAUUAACUGACGCUGAGGCACGAAGGCCAGGGGAGCGAAAGGGAUUAGAUACCCCGGUAGUC
rnacentral:rRNA from 1 species